rnacentral:rRNA from 1 species
AUGCAGCUGGAUAUUGUGCAAGAGAAAAGGACGCUCACGCCAUCAGAGUUUCAUCUGCGAAAGCUGCUGAAACUGAAGAUCGUUGGCCUGGCUGCCCUCGAGCGUGCAAGAAAAUGGCAAGCAUCUUGGGUCACUUGGCUGGAAGCAGGGGAUGCCAAAGCGGCCUUCUUCCAUGCCAAGAUUAGUUCAAGCAGGAGUAAGAACUUCAUUCAGAGCUUGCAAAAGGAGGACAGACAAGCAAUAGCACACGAAGACAAGGCGGCGAUGAUCCACGAGCACUUUCAGGAACUGCUCGGCGAGAAAAGAGCGCGUGCGUGCACCCUCAACUGGGCUGCGCUAAACCUGCCGGUGCUGGACAUCCAUGGCUUGGACAAUCCUUUUACUGAAGUCGAAGUG